AUGACUCAAUCAGNUGAGACUACCCGCUGAACUUAAGCAUAUC
rnacentral:rRNA from 1 species